AACGAACGCUGGCGGCGUGGAUAAGACAUGCAAGUCGAACGAGAGAAUUGCUAGCUUGCUAAUAAUUCUCUAGUGGCGCACGGGUGAGUAACACGUGAGUAACCUGCCCCCGAGAGCGGGAUAGCCCUGGGAAACUGGGAUUAAUACCGCAUAGUAUCGAAAGAUUAAAGCAGCAAUGCGCUUGGGGAUGGGCUCGCGGCCUAUUAGUUAGUUGGUGAGGUAACGGCUCACCAAGGCGAUGACGGGUAGCCGGUCUGAGAGGAUGUCCGGCCACACUGGAACUGAGACACGGUCCAGACACCUACGGGUGGCAGCAGUCGAGAAUCAUUCACAAUGGGGGAAACCCUGAUGGUGCGACGCCGCGUGGGGGAAUGAAGGUCUUCGGAUUGUAAACCCCUGUCAUGUGGGAGCAAAUAAAAAGAUAGUAC
rnacentral:rRNA from 1 species